CUCAUGACCACACUUAGGUGUAGAAAGACUACUGAGGUCACAGAAUGGAAAGUGGAUGGGCUGGAAGUGGAGCAAACACUAAUGAUAAAAAUGGCCCCAGAUGAAGGUAGAGUGUGGGAACCAGGAGAAAUGGGCAAGUUGGAGAGCUGAUUUGGAGAAGAGUUGUUUACUACUCUGUAGCAUUUUGAAAACUCCUGCUUCCCAGAUAGAUAGAAAACCUCCUGAUGGUACCCAUAUUGCUGGUCAACUAGAAAAGAAACCACUGGACAAAUCUCAAUAAGGAACGUUCUACAAAAUAACUGGGCAGAUUUCUUCAAAACUCUCAAGAGCAUCAAAAACAAGGGCAGUCUGAGUGAUUGUCACAGUCAAGAUGAUGCUUAAGGGAACAAGACAAUCAAAUGCAGUGAGGUAUCUGGAUGAGAUCCUGGAAGACAAAAAGUACAUUCAAUAAAAACUAAGGGGAUCUGAAUAAAACUCGGACUUCAGUUAACAACAAUGUUACAAAAUUGGUUCAUUAAUCGUGACAUACGUACCAUGUUAGAUGAUAAUAAAAAAGGGAA